AAAUAGAAGAAAAUAAAAUAAUCCGAUGUAGUACAGAACAUCCGCGAGAAGGAUAAAAGAGUGAAAUAGUUACGACACUGACGCGUGGAAGGCCAAAGCCCAAAAGCUAACUAAAUAGAGCCUUUCUAGUUGAGAACCAACGAAUCCCACAUCGUCUAGUUACACAAACCUUUAAGUCUUUAUUAGAAGGAAGGAGGCAGAUAAGCUUGUCCCUUCGGGGACAUCCGAUAAAAUUGGAACGAUACAGAGAAGAUUAGCAUGGCCCCUGCGCAAGGAUGACACGCAUAAAUCGAGAAAUGGUCCAAAUUUUUUUUUCUAAUCGCCCCUCUCUUGCUCCACAGAAAAGCGAUUACAGAAGGGAAGAAGAGACAGCUUCCUUCCAAUUUACAUCAGCAAAAAUGGGAGGACCAAAUGAGGAAUCAAAAAAACCUACAAAGGCAUUCUUAAAUGACCAGGUUGCAAGUGAGUGAGCUGCUGCAUUGGCUUCCUUGAAUACCUGGUUGAAGGCAAUAUGAGGGAGGUCACUUGCAUAGGGUCUUCACACCAUGUAAGAGGCCUUGGAUUCUCCAUGUGGGUUUGGGGUCUGCAUUAUUAAUAGCCUUUAUGCACGCUUGGAAUCACCUUCUAAUCACAACAUUCUGCAGAUUCUGGUUAGAUGCCAGACACACAGACCAUCUUAAUGCUUUUGCUUCAGCUUGGACCGGGAUAUUGGUGAUACCUUCUUUGUGUGGGCAAGCACCAAGUUCACUCUCCAAUCUCUAGCAACCACAACCAUGACUGAAUGUUUGGAAUGAACAGCUGCAUCACAAUUCAGUUUAAACUGACCUGAAGCAGGCAUGCACCAUUGACUAUUAGCCCUGCUUCUAUCACUUUGAUGAUAGCUCUUCAACACAGACCAAUGCUCCAAGAAGAUCCUACUUAAGCCUCCUUGAAGGCCUUCAUGGGAAAUGCUUUUCCUUUCAAACACAUCAUGGUUUCUCCAUUUCAAGAUAAACUCCAUGAUUGAAGCGCUGUAUAGAUAGAAUAUAGCUUUUCCUGUCUUCUUGGUCAAACAAGAAGUUGCUUGGGGGGUUGAUAAUGAAUUUCAUCAGCCGCUCUGCAUUGUUUGCCCUCAGGAACUCAAUUCUUAUAGUGCAUCUGCUACCAAACCACACGGCUUUAGCUAUCUCAAAGAACUGGAAAAGGUGAUGCAUCUCACACACUGUGCAGCAAGCAUUCCCCUCAUUGGUAAACUAGGCUAGUAUGUACUGAAACAAGAAAGUAUAGUAUUCACAAAAUAGUGUAGUACAAAGAGUUUAUAUAUAACAAGGUUGUGUCAUAUAUAUAUAU